UCUAUGUCCAUUCCACAUUAUGUGUACCUGAUCUCAUCUGAUUUUGGAAGCUAGGAAAGGUCAUCCCUGGUUAGUACUUGGAUGGGAGAAAGGAAAAGAUAUCAUAUGAAGAAUGUUGGGAAGAUGCAAGAA
rnacentral:rRNA from 1 species